ACGGGUAUAGCUCAGUGGUAGAGCGAGUGCUCAGCCUGCACGAGGUCCUGGGAUCAAUCCCCAGUACCUCCA
rnacentral:tRNA from 1 species